rnacentral:lncRNA from 1 species
GCGGUUCCGGUGUUCAGGAUGCCAGGGAUGAUGGGAAGCCUGUUCUUGUUUAUCGGAAAACAUCUGAGCCCAUGAAUUGCCAGACCCUGGAUACCUGAGACACAUCCACUUGCUUCUCAGAUUGGACAUCUGUGGGCUUCCCUUUGCUAUGACGUUUGGAGUGCAUAAUGAGGAGAAAUAAAAACAGAAAGAUCUCCAGAAAGAAGCCAUGGUAAGAUUCAAGGUUUCACAGUCCAAGCUAAUGCCUGUGGACACUUGACCAAGUGAUCUGAGAAAAUUGGAUUUCUGGCAAAACAAGUGUACCUAGACUCAGGCAAGGGUGGAGAACAGAGGGCGACUAGAUUAAAUGGAAAGAAUGCCCAGGCAUCCCAUUGCCUCCCUUUGACGUUCCAGAACUUCAUCAAGACAGUGAUGAGCUACAUGUACACCUGGAGGAGGACCAUGCAGAAUACCAUCCAGCGCCAUGAACACUAGUCAGUCAGUCAGUAAUGGUGGGCUUCUUGGUGUGCUCCAGCUCAAUUUUCUCAUGUUUGAUGAUUAGUUCAGGAUCAAGCUCAGAAGCGCACAGCUGCCAGCAAGCAGUCUACUACUGAACUGCACCAUCUCUCCAGCCUGUGCUUACUCUUGAAUAGCCCCAAAGUAGUCAAUGGUAUGGCAAAAUAAACCUCCAUUUCAUUUAGAUUUUUAUAGUAUUUUUUGCCACUUAAAUUAUUUUAUGUAGUUGAGUAUGAUUUUUUUUCCCCCUAAGGAAUUCUAUGUAUCUCAAUUUCAAGAGUCUUCAGCCUUUAUGUUAUACAUAAUUUCCUAUAGAUUUCAAAGUUGCUUUAAUAAAAAGUUUAAUGUUAAAA